GUGAACGCUGGCGGUAGGCCUAACACAUGCAAGUCGAACGGCAGCACCGUAAGAGCUUGCUCUUACGGGUGGCGAGUGGCGGACGGGUGAGGAAUACAUCGGAAUCUACUUUUUCGUGGGGGAUAACGUAGGGAAACUUACGCUAAUACCGCAUACGACCUACGGGUGAAAGCAGGGGAUCUUCGGACCUUGCGCGAUUGAAUGAGCCGAUGUCGGAUUAGCUAGUUGGCGGGGUAAAGGCCCACCAAGGCGACGAUCCGUAGCUGGUCUGAGAGGAUGAUCAGCCACACUGGAACUGAGACACGGUCCAGACUCCUACGGGAGGCAGCAGUGGGGAAUAUUGGACAAUGGGCGCAAGCCUGAUCCAGCCAUACCGCGUGGGUGAAGAAGGCCUUCGGGUUGUAAAGCCCUUUUGUUGGGAAAGAAAAGCAGCAGGUUAAUACCCCGCUGUUCUGACGGUACCCAAAGAAUAAGCGCCGGCUAACUUCGUG
rnacentral:rRNA from 1 species